rnacentral:rRNA from 1 species
UCCUACGGGAGGCAGCAGUGGGGAAUAUUGCACAAUGGGGGAAACCCUGAUGCAGCGACGCCGCGUGAGCGAUGAAGUAUUUCGGUAUGUAAAGCUCUAUCAGCAGGGAAGAAAAUGACGGUACCUGACUAAGAAGCCCCGGCUAACUACGUGCCAGCAGCCGCGGUAAUACGGAAGGUCCGGGCGUUAUCCGGAUUUAUUGGGUUUAAAGGGAGCGUAGGCGGGCCGUUAAGUCAGUUGUGAAAGUUCGGGGCUCAACCCCGGAAUUGCAGUUGAAACUGGCGGUCUUGAGUACACGCAGGGAA